UGAACCGCAUGGUUCAAAAGUGAAAGACGGUCUUGCUGUCACUUAUAGAUGGAUCCGCGCUGCAUUAGCUAGUUGGUAAGGUAACGGCUUACCAAGGCAACGAUGCAUAGCCGACCUGAGAGGGUGAUCGGCCACACUGGAACUGAGACACGGUCCAGACUCCUACGGGAGGCAGCAGUAGGGAAUCUUCCGCAAUGGGCGAAAGCCUGACGGAGCAACGCCGCGUGAGUGAUGAAGGUCUUCGGAUCGUAAAACUCUGUUAUUAGGGAAGAACAUAUGUGUAAGUAACUGUGCACAUCUUGACGGUACCUAAUCAGAAAGCCACGGCUAACUACGUGCCAGCAGCCGCGGUAAUACGUAGGUGGCAAGCGUUAUCCGGAAUUAUUGGGCGUAAAGCGCGCGUAGGCGGUUUUUUAAGUCUGAUGUGAAAGCCCACGGCUCAACCGUGGAGGGUCAUUGGAAACUGGAAAACUUGAGUGCAGAAGAGGAAAGUGGAAUUCCAUGUGUAGCGGUGAAAUGCGCAGAGAUAUGGAGGAACACCAGUGGCGAAGGCGACUUUCUGGUCUGUAACUGACGCUGAUGUGCGAAAGCGUGGGGAUCAAACAGGAUUAGAUACCCUGGUAG
rnacentral:rRNA from 1 species